AAGUCAUGUUGAGGAAAAUUUCUUAUAAGGCACUUAUAUCUCUCCCAAGCUUCGUAUAAUGGCUCUCCCAUUUCUUGUUGUUAGUUUGAUAUCUUCUUCUUUAGCUU